rnacentral:sRNA from 1 species
GUCGCUGCCAAUUCAGCGACCGGGCUUGGUAACCCGAGAGUUAAGCGCAACAGCGCCCCCAUUAGAUUUGCAGGCGUUUUUUU